rnacentral:lncRNA from 1 species
ACAGUGACAAGGACUUCGCGCGAAAGCAUUGAUUUCCGGUCUCAUGGUGGAAAAGAAAAAGAAAGAGGAAGCGCUCUUGUUCUUGUUGCGCGGACCCCACAAUAAAGAAAGAUGGAAGACAAGAAGCUCAGUAGCAAGGCCGUCUCAUAGUCACCACUUGUCUGUCGUUUCAAGCUUCCAAAACAAGCAGAAAAACACGUUGUCGGUUCAGCAGCUCGAAGUUCAUCUCAAUAAAAUGUCAGGUCAAUCACAUGACUCAUCGGAAGCUCAGUAGCAAGGCUGUCUCAUAAUCACCACUUGUCUGUCGUUUCAAGCUUCCAAAAUAAGCAGAAAAACACGUUGUCGGUUCAGCAGCUUGAAGUUCAUCUCAAUAAAAUGUCAGGUCAAUCACAUGACUCAUCCUGUUAGUCGAGCAUAGCUAACGCUACCAUGACGCUACGCUGCGCCUGCACUGACGUGACUUGCAAACAACGCUGACGCUAUAUAGCCAUAUAGGCAAGGCUCGGGACCACCUCCCUUCGCUUCAGAGUCUUAGGCGCAGCUCUUCUAGUCAGAGAAGAGUCCAGUUGCGAACCUGUGCACUCCUAUCCUAUUGUUGCUUCUAUCACGAUAGGGAAUCGU